UGGAGGAGAGCACGUUGGAGAGAGUCCCGGACGGGGCCAGCUCGGCGCCGCUGCGAGAGCCGCCGUUCCCCGGGCGCUCCGCUGGGUAAAUCGGCCUGAUGUACUGGCUUAGAAAGUAGUACUUGGUACGUGCAACACUUGCAAAGGGAGCAGUGGCACAGGCUUCUAAGGAGCUAUUGGGAAGAAGUCAAGAUACGUUUUAAUUACCGAGUAAGAUUUUCUUUUUUUAACGAUCAACACCUUUUAAAUUACGGUUUGGUUGUUUUCUUUUUCCUCCCCCCCUUUUUUUUUCUUUUUUUUUUUUUUCCUUCGCUUUUUGGUCCCCCUCCUUUUUCUGAAACCAGCGUAUGAGUUGCAAAUUAGCAUUUUAAGAGUAGUUAAAACCCAGUGCAAUCACGGAGCGUCCGUGGCGAGCACGGGAACUCUCUGUUCCGCUCCCGCAGCUGCCUGGACCGUGAGGAGUUCAAGCAACCUGCGACUGCGGGCAGGGCUGAGCGGCCCUGAGCCUGCCACCUUUAUCUGCUCCUUCAAACACCUCAUGCUUUAACACAAAAUAAAGUUUGAAGGGUCUUUGGAAAAGUUGAGGCUGGAGAAGCCUCAUUCACCAUACUCCCCUCUCUUCCUAAAUGGUCUCUGGAUUUAUUGCCUUUAAAAUGUGAUUUAGGUACAAAAUAACCCACUGUGCCCACAGUAUGGAUUUUUAUAACUACAUUUCUUUAAAAAUGAAAUUCAUGUCAGAUUAUGCAGUUAAGGGAAUCGACCUUGAUAGCUUGCUAUAAUAAAACUGUAUCAGCUUGUAAUAAAUGCGGAUUACGGCAAAGCAAGAUCCAGAAUUAAAAUUCCCUGAAUCAAUAUAUGAAAAUCUGUAGGAAACAUCUCUAAUCGUAUUAAAUUCAUCUUUAUAGCAUUUCCUAUCUGCUAAUCUAGUGCAAAAAUAACUCUGGGUUGGAAUAAUUUGUUUUUCUUAUUCAACGUCGCUGCUUUUGAUAGUCUAAUGCGCAGGGGAUAACAAUAUUAAAUUCACUUAUAAGUUUAUUUCUUUUUAACUCGAAGGAAAACAGCGAGAGAACCCCACGUCCUGUUUUCCUUCAAAGGUUGCUGUGUGCAGCGACCGGCGGGGCGGGGGCUGUCACCGAGGGACCACAACUUGGACAAAUACAUGUCCGGGG